rnacentral:rRNA from 1 species
GAAACAUCUAAGUACCCCGAGAAAAAGAAAUCAACCGAGAUUCCGUUAGUAGCGGCGAGCGAACGCGGAGUAGCCCUUAAGCUACAUUGGUGUUAGUGGAAUACUCUGGAAAGAGUAGCGAUACAGGGUGAUAGCCCCGUACACGACAACACCUUUAUAGUGAAAACGAGUAGGACGGGACACGAGACAUCCUGUCUGAACAUGGGGGGACCAUCCUCCAAGGCUAAAUACUCCUGACCGACCGAUAGUGAACCAGUACCGUGAGGGAAAGGCGAAAAGAACCCCGGAGAGGGGAGUGAAAUAGAUCCUGAAACCGUGUGCAUACAAGCAGUCGGAGCAUCAUUUAUGAUGUGACGGCGUACCUUUUGUAUAAUGGGUCAGCGA